rnacentral:rRNA from 1 species
AGUGAACGCUGGCGGUAGGCCUAACACAUGCAAGUCGAGCGGCAGCACAGUAAGAGCUUGCUCUUACGGGUGGCGAGUGGCGGACGGGUGAGGAAUACAUCGGAAUCUACUUUUUCGUGGGGGAUAACGUAGGGAAACUUACGCUAAUACCGCAUACGACCUACGGGUGAAAGCAGGGGAUCUUCGGACCUUGCACGAUUGAAUGAGCCGAUGUCGGAUUAGCUAGUUGGCGGGGUAAAGGCCCACCAAGGCGACGAUCCGUAGCUGGUCUGAGAGGAUGAUCAGCCACACUGGAACUGAGACACGGUCCAGACUCCUACGGGAGGCAGCAGUGGGGAAUAUUGGACAAUGGGCGUAAGCCUGAUCCAGCCAUACCGCGUGGGUGAAGAAGGCCUUCGGGUUGUAAAGCCCUUUUGUUGGGAAAGAAAAGCAGCAGGUUAAUACCCCGCUGUUCUGACGGUACCCAAAGAAUAAGCACCGGCUAACUUCGUG